rnacentral:rRNA from 1 species
GAUGAACGCUGGCGGCGUGCCUAAUACAUGCAAGUCGAGCGAACGGACGAGAAGCUUGCUUCUCUGAUGUUAGCGGCGGACGUGUGAGUAACACGUGGAUAACCUACCUAUAAGACUGGGAUAACUUCGGGAAACCGGAGCUAAUACCGGAUAAUAUUUUGAACCGCAUGGUUCAAAAGUGAAAGACGGUCUUGCUGUCACUUAUAGAUGGAUCCGCGCUGCAUUAGCUAGUUGGUAAGGUAACGGCUUACCAAGGCAACGAUGCAUAGCCGACCUGAGAGGGUGAUCGGCCACACUGGAACUGAGACACGGUCCAGACUCCUACGGGAGGCAGCAGUAGGGAAUCUUCCGCAAAGGGCGAAAGCCUGACGGAGCAACGCCGCGUGAGUGAUGAAGGUCUUCGGAUCGUAAAACUCUGUUAUUAGGGAAGAACAUAUGUGUAAGUAACUGUGCACAUCUUGACGGUACCUAAUCAGAAAGCCACGGCUAACUACGUG